UACGUAGGGUGCGAGCGUUGUCCGGAAUUAUUGGGCGUAAAGAGCUCGUAGGCGGUUUGUCGCGUCUGCUGUGAAAACCCGAGGCUCAACCUCGGGCCUGCAGUGGGUACGGGCAGACUAGACAGUGGCGGGUAGGGGAUGACUGGGAAUUCCUGGGUGAUUAGGCGGUGGGAAUGACGCAGAUAUCAGGGAGGGAAACACCCG
rnacentral:rRNA from 1 species